UUCUCUUCCACCGCAUCCUCUAUAUCAAAUGGAUCUCUAACUUUGUUUUUGAAAGUUGCAGAUUCAAAUCGGUGUAGAUUCAAAUGGGUGGAUUCAAAUCGGUUCCUUAUCUCACUUUUCCCUGUCUUUCAUAUUCAGUGGGAUAUCUCUGUAAGAGGUUUGAAAUCUUAUCGGUGAUGAAUCUCUUGGCAGCUGAUUGUGCUCUAUGGUAAAUUUAUCUCUAUAAAGUCAACGAAUCCGUUAGUAGCAGAAAAUGGUAGUACUGCAACCAAAUUCAAUAGAUUUAACCUUGAUGCAGCCCACAUGGAAGCGACUGUGCCAUUAUGAAUGUAAAUAUUUAUAUAAAAGACGCUGAGAUUGGUGGUGGAAUUGGUGGGGAGAAGCUUACUGGAGUUAGCUGUGAGGCUGUAUAGCUAAGAUUCCUUCUCAUGUCUUGGAGACUGUAGAUGAUAAUACCAUACGGGUCUACGUUUAUGCCUCUAACACCUUUAGCGAAGCUUGCCCAAGAAUGGGUUGCAGUUCAUGGGAUUGGGGUAGACGAUGAAGGAAUAGCGAACAAGGUUAGUGACGCACGCUAAAACUUUCCAUUUGGCGAAACCAUUCUGAAAACUCAUGUUUACUGGAAGUUCCAAAUCAUACACAUCUCGGCCUGUUCUUCCGUCUGCUCAAUUGUAAAUUAAUAUUAAACACUAUCUAGAAUAUUUCACUGG